AAGAAAUAAAAGUUUGUUUUCUUCUAAAGGAAUUCAAUAUGCUUGAAGCUAUUGCCUAAACAAUGCAUACUCCCAAAAUGGAAUGUCUCUUUCAUCAGAUCAAUAAGGCAGAAAUAACUACAUUAUAAUGUGUAUUUCUGGAUUUGGGGGAUGGCAUGCCCUUCCGAAACCUCUGAUGCUAUUGUACUUUAGGCUUUCGAUUUCCAGACUAGAGCUCUCAGCUUACUGUUCCGGCUGUCAUGCCUGCUGCUUACUUUGAUGAGUGCCUACCAUGGUGGACUCUCAUGCUUGAGGAACCAUAAAGC
ensembl:lincRNA Gm12914 predicted gene 12914